CAAAGGUCGAGCUUAAAGGUAAAGUCAGAGGUGACAUGUCCAAAGAGCCACAGAGUUAGAAAGAGGUUAAUCUUAUGUGCCCCACUUACUGUGAAGAAUGACACGCUCGGGGGGAAAGUCCUCUUCUCACCAUCAGCUGCUGUGCUGCAUAAAGAGGAGACGCAGAGAGAGCACACCUGAUGUCCUGCCUGUAUCCCCUCCUCCUCUUCUCAUCCCUGUAAGUGCUUCCUACACACACACACACAUCUACACAUCUACACAACUCCACGCACAUACCUGGAAAAUGUCAGGAUAAUGAGCAUUCCUGCUGCCAACCCAGUGAGUUGCUGAGUUUGUCAGAGUGUUAAUGAGGAAAAUUCAGUAUCAGCACUGCUAAACUAUGAAGCCAAAGUCUGUGGAGUCUGGGUGAUAGGUCCCUUGACUUCAUUAGAAAUCAAGCUGGGUGAUCUGCCAGGAGAAUUCUGGGUAAUCUGUGUUAAAUUUGCUGAACCAGCAUCAUUUUGUAUAAUUUUGUGGUAGUUAGAAAAAUAUUGUACACAUGUGACUUGCACAGUGCCCCUAAAAAUGUUCUCAUAUUGUUUUCAUGAUCACCAGGAUCACAUAAGUGAGAACGUUUAAACUCAUCUGUUUAGCUUAAACAUUUUUAAAGACAGAAGGUGUAGGAUUUAAGGACCUGCCAGCCUUAAAUACUGGCUGUUAAUCAUAGUGAACGACAAUCAAAGUCAUAUCAAAGAUGCUUCAACAGAAAAUUGAUCAUGUUUAAUUUUGCUCUUUCUCCUUCUGCAAACGUGGAGAUCAGCUCAUGGGGCAGUUUUUGAAAUUGUCAGAGG